UUUCUCCUUUUUCUCUACUGUUUUGGGCUUCGGUAAACAGGCCCGUAAACAAGAGUGAAGAGGAACCCUAGAUCGCGUUUACAUCGUCGCCUCCGUCCUGUCUUUGCAUUUCCGGUAACGGUUCAGACGAAUCGGGUCGUUGCCACAGGGUUGGGUUAGAUCGGGAGGUCAUUAGAACAGGCGUGUCCUUGGCGAUGGUGCAGGAGACGGAGAAUGACGACCUUGAGCAGGACGUAAAGUUGAGAACUUUGGAGGGUGAUGAUCUCAAAUGGGUCAAUUGGGAAGAGGAAGAUGAUGAUGAAGAAGAUGGAGAAGCGGAGGUUUCGAAACGGAGAUUGAAUUUCAGCGAUCAAGUUCAGCAGACAUCAGCAGCAUAGAUGAUGGUGAGGUGGUACUGAACACAUAGACUGUCAUGGACCAAGUUUAAGCGUUAGUAGGGAUCAAAGCUGAAGAUAGGUUGCUUGACCGAUUGAAAUCUACUAAAACGACUUGAUUUUAGUGCAAUUGGAUUGAUACCACCAUGGAUACGCACCUCUCUGAUCCGAUGGGAAAACAUCUCUGGUAUGCAAUGUAUCCCCAAGAUUUUAGUCCGCCUUUUAGUAAGCUCACUUGCCUUAAGAAUUCCCAGGUCUCUCUUAAACUUUUCUUCAGCAAGUGAUGAUAAGAGAACUCUUCUUCCCAAUGUUCUUGGGAAAUAAAACUCCUAGCCCUUCCUGUUCAGAUUACAUCUCCCUUUGAUGCCUUCCCUAGAUGCAGCUUAUGAUUAUCAGUGUUUCCAUAGACUUUUAUCUAGAUGAAUCUGAUUUAAGAGUUCUCUAAUCUCUGGAUACUUCUAUAAUCCCAAUGCUCCCUUGAAGUUUUGGUUUUGUACAGGUAAAGAGAGUUCUUCACAUUGUGGAGUUGGUGGUAAAAGGAAGCAUAGGCAUUUAAGUUGGAGGAAGGACCUGAAUGGAGAGAAGGAAAAUCAAAGAUUCUCUUUAAUGGCUGGACUGGUAAUGGAAAGAACAAGCGAGAUGGUGAUUCAGAGCCCUCAUCUGGUUCAGCUUCCUGUUAGAAUGUGGGAAAGUCACUAGGCAUAGAUUCACAGAGUUGUCAAGGUACCUUACGAAAAUGCAACUAAUUAUGCAGUAUACUUGGAAGGGUAUGUGAAAGAUAUCUAUAAAUGUUAUUUAGCGAUCCUGAAAAUGCCAAAGCAUUAUAGAAAUAAAGCGAUCCAAGAUUGAAUUAAA